rnacentral:lncRNA from 1 species
CUUCUGUAUCUUGGAAAGAACAAGUCCCAUCAAGGUUGUUUAAAAUGUACUUUUCUAUAAGAUUUACCCAUUUCUCAUUCAUUCCAUUAUAGAUUUGGAAAGAUAUUCCAGUAUGGAGUAGAAGGAUGAGACUCCCCCAUAGCUUCCGUGGAUAUCUCUUAAUACAGGCAGAUUAAGAAAGCAAAUGAAUCCGUGGGUUUCCGAAGAACAGGACAAUCAAAUAGUGAAAGAAUGCUGUGCAUUUUUAGCCCUCUAUCCUCUGUAUUCAGCCAUUUGCCACUUUCUGCCCUCCCUUCCUGUGCAAUAGACUUCCUCCUGGACUUGCCCUGUUAGCCUUUAGAACAGAAGACCCGAGGCCCUCUCUUUCUCGGGUCUCAAGCUGAUGGGGUAAUCAUACCUGGUAGAAGUUUGUACCGAGAGCUUGGGUGCCCUCGUUCCUUGAGUGACAGCUUGAUACUCCCUUACCCUCACUAUUCAGUCACAAAUACGUGACUGGGUGAAGAUGUGCGAAGGCUCUGUCGUGCAGCAGACACUGCAGUGCGAGUAACACUGAGUUGAGACUCGGGUCAUGUUCUUCAAUUUGAAUGUGAGUCUAGUUUGCUGUUCAUUUCAGAGAAAAGAGGAUGGGGGAGACUCCAAUGUGCUGGGCGAGGACUCAGUCUCAGCCUCCUGCCUCGUGUUCUAAAGCGAUCAUACUAUUCAUUUACUGCACAAAUAUUCAUUUUUUGCCAUUCGUGUGACUCCCUUCGUCUGACUCCACUACACAGGAAUGAAUGCAGCAUUCCUGCCCUCAUGGAGCUUGAAGUCUCACCGGGGCUCCCACGAAAAGACUGAAGAAAGGACGGUUACGAAAGGAAACAGGUUACAAAUUGUGAUCAUGGACACCGAAGAAGCCAAUGGGAGACCGAGCAGGGAAUUCAGGCGGAGGGCAGAGGGAGGAGGUCAGGCAAAGUCUGACAAGGCAAGUGACCUCUCCUUGGGGGCAAGAGAGCAGCGCACAGCAGGAAUCAGAGAGCAGGUGAAAUUCACCCAGCCGAAUGACAGACGGAACAGAGCCAGAAGGUCCCCGUGCAUCUCAUUCCCCAGCAGCUGCAAUCCUGUGACGCUGACGGACUCACAGAGAAAGUGCCGAGAGGUCUGGAAAGUCAUCCCAGCUGUGACUUCCAGGUGCCAGGGGUCCGAGACCGGAAGAUUCCAGCAGGGUUUUCCCAGAAUGCACCAUUGUUCUUCAGCCUGGCCUCCACCAUUUCCAACGUACAGGCCAGGUGCCUCCAAAGACAUUAGCUCCUUCUCUCCUCUGAUCUCACCCUAACAUUCGGCCGCAGAGGGACAGUUUUCUCUCCUGCCUUUUGAAGGAGUCAAUAGAAAACGGAACAGCUUUCCAGUUCUCCAUUCUCACCUUCCACACAGACCCUAUUUCCUGCCACAUUUCAAAACAUCUAAAAAAAUAUCACCACGGCGACGACGCUGUUGUUUCAAGAGUUUAAAUAACUUUCUAUAUCCAUCUCCUGUGUAAUCAUCUUCCAAAAAACCUCAAC